GGGCUAUCCCGGUAAGUAUGACAUGGAGUGUCCAGGAGUACAAUUUACAGCUCUGCAUGGCUCUCUCUGGCUACCCAGGUGUGCAAGUUACAAAGAUAUAAGGGGACAUUAACUGCGUGCUCUCGUAGAGACUUCUGUCCUAGAGUCUGGCUAUACUCUGCAUCUCAUGCUGGAUAACCAAUCUGGUGCACUGUCGGCAGAUGCAGGAAAUACAGGCUAUAUACAGGCUAUAUACAGAACCCAGGCCGGGGAAGCGGCGGUGUGGACAGGGACGCCUCGACACGGGAGUCCAGGUCAAGGAGUCGCCAGCCUGGUCGGUUGGGAGAUCAGGACGCUGAUGGGGCCACGGCCGGCAGGUCAACAGCACGACUGGAGGGUGCUUUACACGGGCCAGGCGGUGAGUGCUCCAGGGGUGCCGGGGGGAUGC